rnacentral:pre_miRNA from 1 species
GUUUGACUUUUCGUCUUAUUAAGAAAAACUUACGAUUAAUAAUUUUAUUUUUAUUAGAUGAUAAAACAUGAAUGUACUUUAUGCGCGACUAAUUUUUUAAAGUUUUUCAAAAAAAUUUUAAAUAAGACGGAUGGUCAAAC